rnacentral:rRNA from 1 species
AUGAACGCUGGCGGCGUGCCUAAUACAUGCAAGUCGAGCGAACGGACGAGAAGCUUGCUUCUCUGAUGUUAGCGGCGGACGGGUGAGUAACACGUGGAUAACCUACCUAUAAGACUGGGAUAACUUCGGGAAACCGGAGCUAAUACCGGAUAAUAUUUUGAACCGCAUGGUUCAAAAGUGAAAGACGGUCUUGCUGUCACUUAUAGAUGGAUCCGCGCUGCAUUAGCUAGUUGGUAAGGUAACGGCUUACCAAGGCAACGAUGCAUAGCCGACCUGAGAGGGUGAUCGGCCACACUGGAACUGAGACACGGUCCAGACUCCUACGGGAGGCAGCAGUAGGGAAUCUUCCGCAAUGGGCGAAAGCCUGACGGAGCAACGCCGCGUGAGUGAUGAAGGUCUUCGGAUCGUAAAACUCUGUUAUUAGGGAAGAACAUAUGUGUAAGUAACUGUGCACAUCUUGACGGUACCUAAUUAGAAAGCCACGGCUAACUACGUG